rnacentral:rRNA from 1 species
UAACAGGAUUCCCCUAGUAACUGCGAGUGAAGCGGGAAAAGCUCAAAUUUAAAAUCUGGCAGUCUUUGGCUGUCCGAGUUGUAAUCUAGAGAAGUAUUAUCCGCGCUGGACCGUGUACAAGUCUCCUGGAAUGGAGCGUCAUAGAGGGUGAGAAUCCCGUCUUUGACACGGAUUGCCAGGGCUUUGUGAUGUGCUCUCGAAGAGUCGAGUUGUUUGGGAAUGCAGCUCAAAAUGGGUGGUAAAUUCCAUCUAAAGCUAAAUAUUGGCGAGAGACCGAUAGCGAACAAGUACCGUGAGGGAAAGAUGAAAAGAACUUUGGAAAGAGAGUUAAACAGUACGUGAAAUUGCUGAAAGGGAAACGCUUGAAGUCAGUCGCGUUGGCCAGGGAUCAACCUUGCUUUUUUGCUUGGCUUACUUUCUGGUCGAUGGGUCAGCAUCAAUUUUGACUGGUGGAAAAAGUUCAAGGGAAUGUGGCAUCUUCAGAUGUGUUAUAGCCUUUGUUCAUAUAUAUCAGUUGGGAUUGAGGAACUCAGCACGCCGCAAGGCCGGGUUUUUAACCACGUACGUGCUUAGGAUGCUGGCAUAAUGGCUUUAAUCGACCCGUCUUGAAACACGGACCAAGGAGUCUAACAUGCCUGCGAGUGUUUGGGUGAAAAACCCGAGCGCGUAAUGAAAGUGAAAGUUGAGAUCCCUGUCGUGGGGAGCAUUGACGCCCGGAUCUGACCUUUUGUGACGAUUCUGCGGUAGAGCAUGUAUGUUGGGACCCGAAAGAUGGUGAACUAUGCCUGAAUAGGGUGAAGCCAGAGGAAACUCUGGUGGAGGCUCGUAGCGAUUCUGACGUGCAAAUCGAUCGUCAAAUUUGGGUAUAGGGGCGAAAGACUAAUCGA